CCUACGGGAGGCAGCAGUGGGGAAUAUUGCUCAAUGGAGGAAACUCUGAAGCAGCAAUGCCGCGUGCAGGAAGACGGCUUUCUGAUUGUUAACUUCUAUCUAUAGGAGGGUAAGACUUGACGGUUCCUAUAUACUAAGCGUCGGCUAACUACGUGCCAGCAGCCGCGGCAAUACGGAGGAGGCAAGCGUUAUCCGGAUUUAAUGGGUGUAAAGGGUGAGUAGGCGGCAAGGUAAGCUAGAUGUGAAAGCCUUAAGCUUAACUUAUGUAUGGGAUAACAAACGAUCGAGCUAGAGUACAGGUGCGGAAGGCGGAAUUUAUGGUGUAGCGGUGAAAUGCGUAGAUAUUAGACAGAACACCGAUGGCGAAGGCAGCUUACUAAACUAUAUCUGACGCUGAGGCUCGAAAGCGUGGGGAGCAAACAGGAUUAGAUACCCGGGUAGUC
rnacentral:rRNA from 1 species